rnacentral:lncRNA from 1 species
GGCAGCAUGUGCCCAGCACAAUGCCCCUCUCUGACGUCUGUGGGCAAAUCUCCCCAGCCUGCAACUCACAGAUCUGUGCCUAGGGCUCAGCAUGAGAUCUCACUGCUUCAAAUCGAUCUCUUCUAAAGUUUUUCUUAAAAAAAAAAAAACAAAACAAAACCGUAUUGAUUGAUUGAUUUGCUUUUCUCUUUUGGCUGCAUCAGGGCAUAUGGAAGUUCCUGGGCCAGGGAUGGAGUCUGAGCCACAGCUGCCAUCCAUGUCCCAGCUGUGGCAGCACCGGAUCCUUAGCCCACCGUGCUGGGCCGGGAAUUGACACAGCGCCUCCAGAGACAAGCUGGACCAUGAACCCACUGCACUGCAGCAGGAACGCCUAGAGUUUUUCUUAUUCAGCUCUUUUCAUCGACACCAAAGCCUUAGGGCGUUUGGUGGGAGAUGACAGUAUGCCUUAAUUAGCAAAGGAGAGAAUCAAUCCAGAGAAGAAUGGGACCUUAAAUAGCACACACAACAAGUCCAAGGAAAAGAGGUAUGCAGACUCUCCGCCACCCCCUACCUUUGCAUGAAUGAAGAUGUAUCAACCUAAAGUCAGUCUGGAGACUCGAGUUGAGUCAGUUGCCGGUGGCCAGAACUUCCACCCAGGAACACAAAGUUCCUCCUUGCUUAGCAGGAGCUACUGCUCAUGUCAAAGAAAAUUCAGGACUUCUGGGUCACCCCCAGAUCCCCCAGCUUCCCAAGGAAGGAGAGACCAGAUAAGAGAGCUGUGGGCCCGCUGCUGCAGACACUCCACUCAGACACCUUCACAGUUCCUUUUCUACCUCUGGCAGCAUCUGGAAAAGACCUGUCUUCUGCCAAAACUUAACCCACAUAGAAACUAUCAUGAAGCCCUGGCUUCUCCUGCUCAUCAUGCUCGUCUACGAGGUUGUGAUGCUGCCUGUGUUGGGAGGCUUCAGGUUCAAACCUUUCCCUGA